UGGCUCAGAGUGAACGCUAGCGGCGUGGUUAAGACAUGCAAGUCGAACGAUGAAGCCCAGCUUGCUGGGCGGAUUAGUGGCAUACGGGUGCGUAACACGUGAGCAACCUGCCUUGAAGUGGGGAAUAGCCCGGGGAAACCCGGAUUAAUACCGCAUGUGGUCUCUUUUCGCAUGAAAAGACGACUAAAGUUUGUAAUGACUCUUCAAGAGGGGCUCGCGGCCUAUCAGCUUGUUGGUGAGGUAAAGGCUCACCAAGGCAAAGACGGGUAGCUGGUCUGAGAGGAUGAUCAGCCACACUGGAACUGAGAUACGGUCCAGACACCUACGGGUGGCAGCAGUUUCGAAUCAUUCACAAUGGGGGAAACCCUGAUGGUGCAACGCCGCGUGGAGGAUGACGGCCUUCGGGUUGUAAACUCCUGUCACCAAGGAACAAACGGCAGGUUCAUAGCCUGUCCUGAGUUAACUUGGAGAGGAAGAGGUGGCUAACUCCGUGCCAGCAGCCGCGGUAAUACGGAGACCUCGAGCGUUACUCGGAUUCACUGGGCGUAAAGAGUAUGUAGGCUGUUUGGUAUGUCAGGUGUGAAAGCCCGAAGCUCAACUUCGGAAUUGCGCCUGAAACUACCGGACUUGAGGCCUGGAGAGGGGAGUGGAAUUCCUGGUGUAGCGGUGAAAUGCGUAGAUAUCAGGAGGAACACCAAUGGCGAAGGCAGCUCCCUGGACAGGUUCUGACGCUGAGAUACGAAAGCGUGGGUAGCGAAAGGGAUUAGAUACCCCUGUAGUCCACGCCGUAAACGUUGUACACUAGGUUUCGGAGGGCCUACCCCUUCGGAGCUCAAGCUAACGCGAUAAGUGU
rnacentral:rRNA from 1 species